ensembl:snRNA U6 U6 spliceosomal RNA
GUGCUCACUUCGGCAGCACAUAUACUAAAAUUGGAACGAUACAGAGAAGAUUAACAUGGCCCCUGCGCAAGGAUGAUACGCAAAUUCAUGAAGUGUUCCAUAAAAAA